rnacentral:rRNA from 1 species
UACGUAGGGUGCAAGCGUUGUCCGGAAUUAUUGGGCGUAAAGAGCUCGUAGGCGGUUUGUCGCGUCUGCUGUGAAAACGCGAGGCUCAACCUCGCGCCUGCAGUGGGUACGGGCAGACUAGAGUGCGGCAGGGGAGAUUGGAAUUCCUGGUGUAGCGGUGGAAUGCGCAGAUAUCAGGAGGAACACCGAUGGCGAAGGCGGAUCUCUGGGCCGUAACUGACGCUGAGGAGCGAAAGCGUGGGGAGCGAACAGG